GGGGAGCAUACCCAAUAGUUGUUGUGCAGUUCUAUCCUGUAUUAUUAUUUGAAACCCUGUAUUACUUAUAAGUAGCAUUUUGUAACUUAUUUGUAAUUGUUUAUAUAUAUUGCUCUGGGAAAGGGAUAGGCAAAAUCUCUGAGAGACCAGGAAAUAUAUUUUAAAAAAAGGGCGUAUUACACUAGUGGUAGGGUGGCCUAUCAUGACCAUAGAGACCCUUGGUGAC